CCCAUUGGAGGGGUGGGGAGGGUUAGUACGCGUGGGUAACCUGCCCUGUACACACGGAUAACAUACCGAAAGGUAUGCUAAUACGGGAUAACAUAUGAGAGUCGCAUGGCUUUUGUAUCAAAGCUCCGGCGGUACAGGAUGGACCCGCGUCUGAUUAGCUAGUUGGUAAGGUAACGGCUUACCAAGGCAACGAUCAGUAGCCGACCUGAGAGGGUGAUCGGCCACAUUGGAACUGAGACACGGUCCAAACUCCUACGGGAGGCAGCAGUGGGGAAUAUUGCACAAUGGGCGAAAGCCUGAUGCAGCAACGCCGCGUGAGCGAUGAAGGCCUUCGGGUCGUAAAGCUCUGUCCUCAAGGAAGAUAAUGACGGUACUUGAGGAGGAAGCCCCGGCUAACUACGUGCCAGCAGCCGCGGUAAUACGUAGGGGGCUAGCGUUAUCCGGAAUUACUGGGCGUAAAGGGUGCGUAGGCGGUCUUUCAAGCCAGAAGUGAAAGGCUACGGCUCAACCGUAGUAAGCUUUUGGAACUGUAGGACUUGAGUGCAGGAGAGGAGAGUGGAAUUCCUAGUGUAGCGGUGAAAUGCGUAGAUAUUAGGAGGAACACCAGUAGCGAAGGCGGCUCUCUGGACUGUAACUGACGCUGAGGCACGAAAGCGUGGGGAGCAAACAGGAUUAGAUACCCUGGUAGUCCACGCCGUAAACGAUGAGUACUAGGUGUCGGGGGUUACCCCCCUCGGUGCCGCAGCUAACGCAUUAAGUACUCCGCCUGGGAAGUACGCUCGCAAGAGUGA
rnacentral:rRNA from 1 species